CCCUCGGUGCGCGCUUACGCUGUUUGCACGACGCUUCACGUGCGUUCCUAGUCUAUGGGAUCCUCUGGAACUCGUUCUCUUCCAUAUGUCCAUACUUCGAACGCGAGAUCGCUAUGAAAAGGGAUCACCGAAUCGCGCCGAUUUCACCGCAGGAUGAAUCGUAGAUACGAGAACGUCGUAUACGUGCCGGUAUACCGUGUAUAGCUCCGUAAGCGAGAUAUGGCAGGACGACUGAAAGUGCAGCCUUGAAUUCACGGCAAAUCUGUCGUAUGCAUAAUAAAGCGUCGUUCCAUGCAAAUCUCCCUCUGCCUCUCUCCUCUCUUCUUUUUUCUUCCUCUUUCUCGAUCCCUGCUUAGCUAUUUCACUUUCCCGCCGCGCGUUUCAACGAAAGAACGAUCGCCUAGCAUCGUUCUCCGCUUUAUAUUUUUCUGGAACUCGUAGCGGUCCACGCGGACAGGGAGAAGUAUCGCGAACAUUACCGAGCAUAUACGUAGCUCGAUUUCGAUUCCGUUCAGCUUAUCGACCAAGUAUCAUCCUUAUUCAAAGCGUUUUUCUUUUUACAGGAAUGCAUCGAUCGGUUACGUAAAAACUUGGAAUCCUGGCGCGGCUGUUGUGAACCGUCGUUCACGUUGUGAACGUUUAAAAUGUUUCUACCGUGAAUCGUGAAGACGACCGAGUUACCAGGGAAAAGAGGAAGAGGAGGAGGCAGACGAGGAAAAGGAAAACGUGGAAAGGCGAGCGCUCGCGAUCGAUCGCGCUCGAAACACUUUCACGGCGAAAAGGACGCGGAAGUAGAUAAGGACGAAACGUGUCAAAAGGAAGGCGCGAAUAACCGAGUCACCAGCUCACGGACCUCGACAGCUGUGGCUUUUCUGGCUAGUCAAUGCAGCGCGCCACAGACAAUGCUCCAUAGAAAUCGCCAGAUGCAUCUACAAGUGCUACCGUUUCAGAGGAAAAUGCGACAAUGACAUCGAAAUGCAUCGAACGAUGUUCCUAUCGGGCACCGGAAUUGCGUACGUGGUUCGCGUAUCAGACGCCACCUUGCCAUUCACGAUCAAUCUAAUCGCUGAACGCGUUUUGUUUUUCAAAACUUCGAAAGCGUACUUUCCAUCUCGGAUCGCGAAUUAAUAUUCCCUGUCGGAGAAGUUCGAUGAAUAUUCCUUCUUAUAUUGGAAAAGUUGAGAGUUGAGAAAGUUACGUAGAAUGUGAUCGUUUGAAAAAUCGUACAGAGUGAUAAUAAAUGCUCUAGAAUCACGACGACGUGCUUAAGCUACUCUAAAAUGGGAAACUUAGCGCUCUGCAUGAAAUUACGCGGUAUACACGUUUUCGCGAGUUGAAAGUGGCUCGUUUCCCGCGCACAAUCGAACAUGUUGACAUUGGCAGUCGCCGCAUAAAUCCUGCGAGGCGUAUAAAUAGACCUCUCGUUCGCAAACGAAAGGUCGUUACCGAAUGCACCACGAGUUGCACCACAAGUUACAAUACACCGCUACGUCUGAUGGAUAAGACUUGAAAGGUGGAUGGCUCGAUGACUUAACUGGACGAACAAUAAUCCCCUCGCUCAAGAAAAAGGAAGAGAAGGAAGAAAAGGGGGAGGAGCGGAGAAAACGAGAGAGGCUUAUUACCUCAAAUCGCGGCUGCUCCAUCACCAGACGUUUAAUAACCCCAGACCGAUUACAACGGGGUUUAUCGAAAUGGAUUUUUUUUUCUGUUGGCAUAGUUGGGAAUUGAAAGGCUCGUCUUGAGAACUACUCGAGUUCCGGGUCUCUGUGGCAAGAAGCAAGCGGUUUAUGCAAUAGCCGAUGCAACGGUAUCGAAAGAAGACAGGCGAAGGGACGGUGGGGUGAAAGGAGGUGGAAAGGGGCUCGAGAAGCCCUCCACUGUGUUCUUAGCAUUCCAUCGAGCAUCGUGGUUCGCGGUUAGACUAACCACCGAGCAAAAUGGUAUAGCAUUGGAAGAAAAGGGUUUUGAAAGAGGACGAAAGAAGCGUCGAACCAUUCGUUUGGGCAUACACAGCACGCGCCAUUGACGCGAUAUUAAGCGUCGUGGAUUUCGCUGGAUUCUUGAAAUCCAAUUGCCAUUAAACGCGGAGACCGCCGUUCUUCUAUCGAUCGUUUCUACCAGACAGUGCGUGAUCUCGUUAUCUAACGAUUUAGCGCGUUCAUCCGCGAGAUACCGCCGAUGAAAUUGACAGCAAAGCUUGUGAACCGCAGUACGUCUUCAUUCGUGAAACGGAUAAUCGCGAAAAUCUUGCACGCGAUUCCAAGAGUCGCGCGUUUCUUUGUCACGUACUACAAACAAUGUAUGUAUAUAAAGAAACGUUUUCAAGUUCGUCGCGUAUUUCCGCAACUACCGUCUCAACGUCUCGAAACCGGUGCGUAAUUUACAUCGUAUUAUUAAAGGACAGCGUAGGACGGAGAUUAGUGAGAAAGGGAGAAGAAGGAGAAGCAACGGAAAAUCCGGUGGAACGAAUCGUUUCGCGGCAAGCCACGGCGACGUUAUGCGUAAACGGGUCGUGCUCGGUCGACGCACGAUAAUUAAAUUUUCAGCGUGGAGGAAAGGUGAAAAGAGGCGGAAAGGCUCGGCGGCGGUAGGCGCAACUCGCGGACCAAUUAGGAAGAAUUUAACUUUUCCGCACAAUGGGAGGUAAAGGUAAAUCGAGCGUGGCGCGCGGUACACCGAGACCAGGCGUGGCGUUAACUUCGUUUUACGAGGUUCGUUUGUUUUCACCCCGGUCGGCAUACGCUAACUUCGAUAUCCUGGUGGAACUUUAAAUUCGAUUCUCCAACACGAAAGAUCGACGUGUCCGAGCCGAGAAGCGGGUCAAAUGCGCGCGAACCUUCGCGCCGGAACGAAUUGGCAUUGCUUAUAUAGAAGUUCUUUUGUCCAGAUUAGGAUCGAGAACUACUUUGCGUGUUGGCGAGUACGGCCAGUACACCGCUCAAGGUGGGGUAAUAAUUAGAUUUUCAGGGACGGAGGAAGCCAAGAACGAAAUAGGUUUCGUAUUUCGUCUUCGCGUUGCAGCGCCAGUCUCUCAUUGUCGAGAAAACAGAGAGAGAGAGAGAGAGAGAGAGAGAGAGAGGAGGAAUACAGGAAAAUAAGUACAAAUCUGUUCUUCACCGAUGAUGGCGAUAGUCGAACGGCGAUCUUUUUUCUUCCUUCCUUCGGAGGCGGGAGCGGAAUGAUUAUGGAGAGCAUAGAGGAAAAUCAUUAUCGUGUGCAUCGUAGAGAGAAAGAGCCAGCCGGCGUGAUAAUUAAAUUUCCAUAGACGAAGACUACGGAUGAAAAGGUGGAGUGAGAGGAAAACCGUUGGCGGAUAGAAGAACCCGGGGGUAAAAGGUGGAAUUAUGGUAAACUAUGUUCCCCCCGUGACUUUCGUCGUUGUGAAUUAACUCACGCUACGCUGCGCACGUUCUGCCGCGUCCACUGGAUUUGCUUCUAUCUCGAACAGAAUAUCCGAACGUCCGAAGUCAAGCUCACGGGGACAUACCGUAAAAAAUUUCCAAUUAUCUCGCGCGAACCUGCGAUUUUUAUCGAACUAGUUUCGUGAAAAUUCUAAUUGACGUCGUUAUCGUUUACGCGAUACUAUCGACGAGACAUACGACACGAUGAACAAUACACCUUACAACAUAGCCGUUUCCUCUCUGCGACUCGCUGGGAGAGAGUCGAUGAGGAGAACGUGGUUUCGUGAGUUGCUGCACAAAAGUGGGGCGGAAAAACGGCCAGGAAGACGUGAACUAACAGAUAAGACAAAUAUAUUGGAGAGGUAUAACGUACGUGGUUAUGGCGGAGCAUCACAGUGCCGCACGCGAACACCGAGAGAUCUCGAUAAAUCGUGGCUGAAGCUAGCUCGGGUUGCUUUGAACAUUUACACGUUAAUAAAAUACGCUUCUCAUACCGUGAUAAUAAAUUGCCCGAAUAUUAUAUGUGACAGCGAUAAACGCAACACUGCAAAAUAUAAUAGAACAGAGAGACCGAAUGAGAACGAUCGAAAGAGAUUUUAAACGAAAUGUUCCUUCGCACAGACGUUUUCAAGGUUCGUUGAACGUUCGACGCGAUGUUACGAGUGACCGUAGAGAGUCGAGGACAGUUUUGGUUGCAAGGUGACGUCACAGUUGAGGACGAAGCGUACCGACAAAGGAGGAGAGAAGUCGCUGCUCGUUUCGAGUGGUAUUUCGUCGCCGCGCCACGUUCGAGAAUGCCCGCAUGUCGGAAGUAUCGAAGACAUUAGCAUAUCGCGUGCGCUUUCACCGAGGUUAUCAAAGACACUUUGGGUUUAUACCACGGCACGACACGUGCACAUAAGAGCAAACAGGGUUCAGGUCUAUUUGUCAAAAUGCCAAUCAAAAAGCCCCCCGCUGAUAAGAAGACGCUCAUCCGACACUAGCCAGCAAAUUGCAUAAUCAAAUUUAAUAUACCGAGAACGAUACGAAAAUUCUCGAGUUACAAACACGCUACUAUUCAGCCGACAGCCAGACGAGUCUAACCAACCACCGAACAUUAUCGAUCUCCCUCCUAUUUCCAUUUCAUAAGAUUCCCUUGGCAGAAACGACGAGCUAUUCGACAUUGCCUCUAACGUAGUUAUCCUAUUAGGAAUAUAUUUUGCUCAAACACAAGAAUUCCGACACUUUGUCCGACUCGUAUCGUACGAAUUUUGGUGAACUGUACAAAUCCUAGAAAACUUGACAAUAAUAUACUUCUUAAGUAUCA